rnacentral:sRNA from 1 species
UCAUGGACUACCUUCGCCUAGGGAAAAGC